rnacentral:rRNA from 1 species
UACGGAAGGUGCAAGCGUUGUUCGGAAUGAUUGGGCGUAAAGCGCGCGUAGGCGGGUUGAUAAGUCGGAUGUGAAAGCCCUGGGCUUAACCCAGGAAUUGCAUCCGAAACUAUUGAUCUUGAAUACCUGAGGGGUUAGUGGAAUUCCAGGUGUAGGAGUGAAAUCCGUAGAUAUCUGGAGGAACAUCAGAGGCGAAGGCGACUAACUGGCAGAGUAUUGACGCUGAGGUGCGAAAGCGUGGGGAGCAAAC